rnacentral:rRNA from 1 species
GAUGAACGCUGGCGGCGUGCCUAAUACAUGCAAGUCGAGCAACAGAACAGGAGCUUGCUCCUUCUACGUUAGCGGCCGGAGGGUUAGUAAAACGUUGAUAAACCACCUAUUAGACUGGGAUAACUUUGGGAAACCGGAACUAAUAACGGGUAAUAUAUUGAACCGCAUGGGUUAAUAAUGAAAGAAGGUUUUGCUGUUAAUUUUAAGUGAUCCCCGCCGCAUUAGCUAGUUGGUAAGGUAACGGCUUACCAAGGCAACGAUGCGUAGCCGACCUGAGAGGGUGAUCGGCCACACUGGAACUGAGACACGGUCCAGACUCCUACGGGAGGCAGCAGUAGGGAAUCUUCCGCAAUGGGCGAAAGCCUGACGGAGCAACGCCGCGUGAGUGAUGAAGGUCUUCGGAUCGUAAAACUCUGUUAUUAGGGAAGAACAAAUGUGUAAGUAACUAUGCACGUCUUGACGGUACCUAAUCAGAAAGCCACGGCUAACUACGUG